GGACGAACGCUGGCGGCGUGCUUAACACAUGCAAGUCGAACGGUGAAGGGACUGGUUUUGCUGGUYCUGGAUGAGUGGCGAACGGGUGAGUAACACGUGAGUAACCUGCCCCCUUCUUCUGGAUAACCGCAUGAAAGUGUGGCUAAUACGGGAUAUUCUGGGUCUGUCGCAUGGUGGGCCUGGGAAAGAUUGCGCUUUUUUUGGUGUUUUUGGUGGGGGAUGGGCUCGCGGCCUAUCAGCUUGUUGGUGGGGUGAUGGCCUACCAAGGCGGUGACGGGUAGCCGGCCUGAGAGGGUGGACGGUCACACUGGGACUGAGACACGGCCCAGACUCCUACGGGAGGCAGCAGUGGGGAAUAUUGCACAAUGGGCGCAAGCCUGAUGCAGCGACGCCGCGUGAGGGAUGGAGGCCUUCGGGUUGUGAACCUCUUUCGCCAGUGAAGCAGGCCUGCCUCGUUUGUGGGUGGGUUGACGGUAGCUGGAUAAGAAGCGCCGGCUAACUACGU
rnacentral:rRNA from 1 species